AGCAAGUGUUUUGUCAAAGCAACAUUUCCUCAAAGGUUUGCAAUGAAAGAUUUUACCUGUUGGUAUUGCCUGAUUCCACAAUUGUCUAUUUUGCUUUGGCAAAACCCAAUAGAAUAGAUUGUAUUGCCAUGAAGAAUUUCUACAAGCAAGUACUUAAGAUUGUGCAAGACAAAUUCUUAGGAAAUCAAUUUGAACAGAAUUUGAACAGAGUCUGAGAGAAAGAUGGGUAGCCUCAGUUUUGUAUGCCACUUCCACCUCAAACAGCCUGAACACAUUUCUCAGGCUGCUGUCCAAAUGAUAUGUGACCUGCAGUGUGGAAGAAAUGACUCGAAGGAAGAGAAAACAUCCCGUCAUCUCUGUACUUGUGAUGCCUGAGAAGGAGCAAGUAUUUCACGAAUGUUUGUGGAGUAAAGAAAAAUUAUCAAGUCCUUUGAGAAAUGACUGCAGGAGAGGUAGGAGCAAUCGUUACUUUCUCCUGGGAGCCUGGAAGCUGCCUUGCCCCCACACUUCCCCUGUGUACUCCUCUUCACUUCUCACUGUGAAAAGGCAAAAUAAAAUGGAGAAGGAAAAGUGGAUGAGUGGAAGGUAAAAGGUAAAACGGUCCCCCUCAAGGGUCCUGUCCCAGAACAAAAUGAAAAAUGACGCUUUAUUUUUCACAGUAUCUUUUCUCAAGAAGUUCACGACGCUUUAGGAAACUGGUCUCAUAAAUCUUCAAGACACUCUUGAGAGGUAGAAAGCAAUGGUUUCACCCCCAUUAUACAGGUGAGGAAACUGAGGUAUAGCAGCAGAGGAAGAGUAACUUGCCAGGGCCUUUAAUAACAGUCUGAAAAACAGCAGAUUUUCUCUUUUCCAAGUCAGUUCCCCAAGUUUAUGCCUGCAUCCUAUUUGCCAAUAACCACAGGGAUAAAGUACUAAUUUCAAGAGAUCCAGAAAAUGCUUCCACUUUUAAAAAAAUACAUUAACUACAAUGUGUUUAUCUAAAUACUAAGCUAAUAAUGUACAUGGCCUUAAAUAAAUGCAUGUGAAAGUCCAUGUGUGC
rnacentral:lncRNA from 10 species